UACGUAGGGGGCUAGCGUUGUCCGGAAUCAUUGGGCGUAAAGCGCGUGUAGGCGGUUCGGUAAGUCCGCUGUGAAAGUCGGGGGCUCAACCCUCGAAUGCCGGUGGAUACUGUCGGACUAGAGUACGGAAGAGGCGAGUGGAAUUCCUGGUGGUAGCGGUGAAAUGCGCAGAUAUCAGGAGGAACACCAAUUGCGAAGGCA
rnacentral:rRNA from 1 species